rnacentral:tRNA from 1 species
GCAACAUUAUGUAAUCGGUAACAUUUAAGAUUCAUAUUCUUAUUAUGACAGUUCGAAUCUGUCUGUUGCA